rnacentral:lncRNA from 1 species
UUAGACUUUAAUUUUCCUAAGGUUGAUUUGUUUUCAUUGGGCACUAUAAGAAAAAUUUUUUAAAAAUCAUAGGAAACAUUUUUUAGGACAUAUCCUUGAUUUACUGAAAAUAGAGACAGAAGCAAAGAACCCAAUGUCAUUAUGGUUGCUUUUUACUUCACAGAACAAAGAAUGCUGCUGUCUAUAGCAAAGUCACACUUGAAAAAAAAAAAAAACUCUUAAAAAAAUUAGAUUACUACAAUAUAUGUCAUACUCUAAUUUUUCAAAUACAAUUAAAGAUCAGUUGGAAUCAGCUGAUGAAAAUAUUUUCCUUCUAAUAGCCAUAUACAACAUACAUGUACACACACAUACAUAUACUCUUCCCACAAGCUCUGGCCAUCUGUGUUAAUUUAAAAACUUUAAUAAGUUAGCACAUUAAAGCUUAUACUUUAUUUUCACUAUGUGCGUAUCCACAAAAGAAUGAUUGUAAAUUAUUUACUUUCAAUUUUAAAUGUAGGUUUCAAAUGUAUGUUUUCAUGGGGAACAAUUUUUAAAGUUAAACUGUUCUACUUUUAGCAGCUUUCAAAGCUUUACUUUAGGUAUUUUCAAAAUCUUACAUUUAGGAAAAUGUUGACUGGCAUCUUUAUACCUGCUUCCAGAUCCUAUGGGCCAUUUUUCAUGGCCUCUCCUGUGUUAUCGCAUUAACCAGGUUAACAAGUUAACCCUUGCUAUUAACACACACCAUACCACCAAGGAACAGCUUUAAGGGUAAAAGAAGUCCCAUAGGUAUUUUAUUCCAGGGAUUAUUUCAAUAACACCUCAAACCAAGAUGUCUUUGUAGCUUAGAACAGUUUAUAAAUAAUUUUAAGUGGAAAAAUAUGUUAAAAUUCCAACCUACCAGUGACAAGAGGAUGACUUCACACAAUUUUAAAAACUAGUAACUUCAGUUUAUGUUACUAUGGCACAUCGCCAGGAAAUGCAAACUUCUAUUAUUUUUUUUUAAACGCAGCCUACAAACCUGCAGUCCCUGACAUCCACAAGUAUCAAAUGGAGCUGUUGUAUUGCUACAGUGUCUUUUGUACCAUCAUGUGUAGGAAUUUAGCAGCAUUUUCACAACCACAAUUACAAAUAACAAAGAGGUAUGUAUUCAUUCAGUAUAAAUUCGGAACAUCAAUAGUUGGUGCAAGACUGGUAAAGUUAUUAGACUGGUUCAUAUCAGGCUUAUUGUGCUGCCACCUUGGUAAAAUAAGCUUUCAGUGAGGUUUUCUCAUGCUUGAGGCUAGACACCAGUUUAUGGGGCAAAAGGCAACAGAACAAUUUAACUUUUAGUUAAGUGUUUUUCCAUUAAUUGGGCCACACAUUCUUGCAAGCACUAUUGCACACAGUUUGGUUCUGAGAAGAUUUGCAAGAGUUUUGUGUGUCUUUGGUUAGUUCCAACAUAGAGCUUAUCCAUGAUUUAGCAAGCUACAUUUACACAAGACUUCUCUUAAUUGCUUUUCAGGCACAGUUGGGAGAAACAGCAGGCAGCCUUUAAGUGAAGGUUUUGUAGCCCUGAAAUGGUAGCUUGAAGUGCCUCCUUUCCUGUGUUUAUUAUUGACAAUUCAAUUAGCAUGCCAAAGCAGCUGCAGGCUGCAGAAGGCAGAGUCAACCGAGCUGCACAAAAAACUAAUUUUAUUAAUAGACAAAACAGAGGGGGCAAAACUGUGAUGCGUUUAUCUUGUGUACUUACUGAAGAACAUAACAGACAAGGGAAAGUAUGGCCAGUUUUCCCAAACUUAAUCUCAUGGAAAGUCACAAAUUUAAGCUCCCCCUGCCAUUACUAGCUGAUGAAAUGUUAUCCAUUUUCUCUCUCUUCAAGCUUUAACAAAAAACAUACUUGGCAACAAUGAGAUAAAGAUCUCAUAUAUCAUUCAGGAUGUUCUUCAAUAAGUGAUUUUUUUUUAAACCAAAGGCAGGCAAACAAAAUAAGUAUCAAAUAGGGUAUUGAAUGGACAAUGCAGUCAACAACGAUAUUUGGGGUAGCCAUAAGCAUACUGAAUUAUUUAGUUGCUUGUAGUAGUUCCAGUGUUAACUGGUGAGACAACCCAAACAGUGCCAACAGCUAUGUGUAGGUAGAUAAGCUGAGGUGACUCCAGGGACAGAAGGGGAGGAGCUCCUGUGGUGGAUCUGGCUCUGCAAGUGGGUCUGGGGGCCAUCUCCAAACAGCUGAUGUGGGUGCUCUCUGGAAGCCAUGCAGCACAGCCUCCCUGGGAUACCUGGUGGAGUUCAGAGGUGAUGGCUACAUUCCAAGUUUAGCACUGAGACUGGCUAUGGCAUCAGGAAUGACUGACAGCCCCUUGGCUUGUCCCACUCAGAAGGAGGGAAGGGUCACUUUUCAGAAUUCACACCUGGUGGCAUUGGCUUCACGGAUGCUAACACUUCUAAUGUCUUAGUUUGGCUUUGGACAUCAAAGUCUUUGUUGUUGGCUGCAGAGAGUCUGAGCUUGAGGCAGAGACUUCAUAAGGAAACAGCUUAGGGUGACUAAGGGUGACUAACAGCUUAGGGUUCUAGCUGUGCUCUUUAGUUUACAUGCCAAAAAUUCUGCAACAGGCAGAAUUCGAAACUGCAUUACUUUUCUUUCUAGUCCUAUCAGCACUGUCUCCUGAAUCAUUCCAUUCUAAUCCUAUCAUAGUCUUUGUUUUUUAUCAUGCCAUGACAUUGUACUUCUUUGGGGUUUACUCUAAUUAAGCAACCCCCAAAUUUCACUCCUAAUGUUCUCAUGUUGACUUCCUGUUGUCCUUAUCAUUUUCUCCUCCCUUCCUCAUGCCUAUCUUUCUUCCCCCCCAUAUUAGACUUUUUGUCAAAUACCACUAGGCUUCAACAUAAGUAUUUCAGGAAUUGUGUGUGUGUGUGUGUGUGUGUGUGUGUGUGUGUGUGUGUGUGUGUGUGAAGAUAGUGGAGGGCAGAAGUCCUGUAAGGUAAGAUAAAAAACUCCAAAAUCACCAACUCUCAUCAAAAAUAGAAAAAUCUGGGAGUUCCUGUCACGGCUCAGUGGUUAAUGAACCUGACUAGUAGCCAUGAUGUUUUGGGUUCGAUCCCUGGCCUCGCUUACUGCGCUAAGGAUCCAGCAUUGCUGUGAGCUGUGGUAUAGGUCGCAGAUGCAGCUCAGAUCCUGUGUUGCUGUGCCUGUGGCAUAGGCCGGCAGCUGCGGCUCCAAUUUGACGCAUAGCCUGGGAACCUAUAUAUGCCACCAGUGCAGCCCUUAAAAAAAAAAAAAAAAAGAAAGAAAAAGAAAAAAAUUAGAAGAAUCUGAAAAAUUGACAGCCAUUCUUCAUAUUGCAGUUGGAGGUGUCAGUUCCUAAGAAUCUUACUUUGCAGCCUAGUAAUCUCCUUCUUGAAUUUCAAGGUUAUUUCAAUACCUUCGUAUUUUCUAAAAGCCUAAUGAUUUAAUGUAAUAAAUUGUUUAAGAAUAAUAUAACCUUAGGAGUUCCUAUCAUGGCUCACUGGUUAAUGAACCCAACUAGGAUCCAUGAGGACGCAGGUUUGAUCCCUGGCCUUGCUCAGUGCGUUAAGGAUCCGACAUUGCCGUGAGUUGUAGUGUAGGUUGCAGACAUGGCUCGGAUCCCCUGUUGAUGUGGCUGUGGCGUAGGCUGGCGGCUACAGCUCUGAUUGGAUCCCUAGCCUGGGAAUUUCCAUAUGCCACGGGUGCAGCCCUAAAAAGACAAAAAAAAAAAAAAGAGAGAGAGAGAGAGAGAGAAUAAUGUAACUUUAUGGAGCUACUGAUAUGUUUACUGCUAUAUUCCCUAAGGAAAAGGUAAGAAUUUUUUGUAAGACCAGCAUAACAGUUACUUUCUCCUUACAAUAUCUUCACAGUUCUUUGAUACUGUCUCUAACUCUACAGACACCACACACAGAUAUGGAGUUGUCAGGAUCCUAAGCCCUCAGACUGAGUUUAAUUAUAGCUGACCCCUACAACUUUCAGUUACACUUGGAAGAAAUUAGAGAACCAGAUCAGUCAAUAUUUCUCUUCCUUUCUUAUUUGUAAAAUGUGUCUUUAACUCUAGGAAGACAUGUCCU